UAAAUUUUAAUUAGUUAAUUGAUUGCUAUUAGUUGCCGACCGUUCUGCUUUGUAUCACUCGUGAAUUUGAUGAUAAUUUUAGUUUACUUGAUAAAAGUUACUGAAUUAUUGAUUCGAAAGGUUAAAGUUGAAGGGGUGACCGUUCUGCUUUUUAUUACUCGUGAAUUUGAUAAUAAUUUUAGUUUACUUGAUAAAAGUCACUGAAUUAUCGAUUCGAAAGGUUAAAGUUUAGGGGGUGACCGUUCUGCUUUUUAUCAUUCGUGAAUUUGAUAAUAAUUUUAGUUUACUUGAUAAAAAUUACUGAAUUAUCGGUUCGAAAGGUUAAAGUUGAGGGGUUCAGAGUGGCCCAUAAGUGAGGGGGU
rnacentral:lncRNA from 1 species